CCAGCGGCGUGUAAACGGCGAGACACCGUUUUCGCCGAAACUUGCAAACCAAGCUCCUGCUUGAUACGAGUGCAAGUUUUGAAAGGAUCCGCCCUGAUCAUCUCAACAAUCUGCGCGUCAACGUCGGCCGUUGUUUUUCGCGGACGACCUGUCGAUUUACCCGUAGCCUCGCUACGAAUGGCGUUGUCCACAAACGUCCGCGAACGGCCGAACGCCUUGCAGAUGGUCUUGAUUGGCACGUUCUCACGAUACAGCCCCUGAAUGUGUUUUCGCUCCUCUGGUGUGCAGUGCUUUCCGCGACCCAUGAUGAUUUUGUGGAAUUUUUAAACAGCAACCUUUCACCUUGACCACUGAUGGAAGAAUGAAGCACAACACGGUUUGGCUCUCCUUUUAUACUGCCGCAAAACGCUGCCGGCACUCAAAACUCAGAUAAGUAGCGCACCAAAAAUGAGAGUAUAAAAGGCAAAAUUCGGCUAUUGCAAAUUCAGUACGCCUCGAACUGUUGGCGAUGACACACCUAGUGUAUGCAAAAAAAACACCCAAUUUUUUUUUUCCUAUUUUAAUGUCCACCAGUGUACCACGCUGGUUCUUCGGAGCAUGAACUUCGGCAAACGAUCCAAUCGAUGGUACUGCAGAUCCCGUCAAUGCCUGUUGUCUACCGAUCUUCACGCCUGAUUGCUGCGGUAGAGCAUCAGCAACCGGUACCAAUGAUGGCGCAGCAGUACUAGUUGACGGUUGCUGUCCAUGUUGCUGGCCUAACGGACGGAAUGGUGCAGCAACACCAGGUAAUGUUGACCGAUGAUGAUUACCAUCACCGGCACUCGAGACCAGCGCUGACACUGCAUCCGUUACCUUCACCUGUUCAACAACACGAACUGGCAUUCUUUGUUGACUGAGCCGUGCGCGCUGACCGGCCACUGAAACCACCGAAGGCACUGCACUUGUUGUCGUGAGUUGUCCAACAACACGGACCGGCAAGCCGGGAGGACGAAUGGCACUAGGAACGGCAACCGAAAUCACCGUCGGCACUGCACUUGUCGUCGGAAGUUGUCCAACAACACGGACCGGCAAGCCGGGAGGACGGAUGGCACGAGGAAUGGCAACCGAAACCACCGAUGGCACUGCACUUGUCGUCGGAAGUUGUCCAACAACACGGACCGGCAAGCCGGGAGGACGAAUGGCACGAGGAACGGCAACCGGAACCACCGAUGGCACUGCACUUGUCGUCGGAAGUUGUCCAACAACACGGACUGGCACAUCUGAAUGACGAAACGACUGCACACCCGCAAUGGCCGAAGGCAUCACUUGUAGAGGAAGUGGUACUUGAGACUCUUCCACAACUUCUUCCUCCAAACGAAGACACGUUAGUUUAUCUUGCGUCGACAUGGUGUAACUUUUGCAAAAUGUACGAAAUUGCACUAAUAUUUUCAAAUUUACACAAAAGACACUUUAAGACACUUUUUCACGAGGCACUGACACGAUGUAUUAACUUUGGAGUCUGAAGUUGAACUAAAAUUGUUUAGCAAAGUGUUAGCCCUUUUAUACUGCAUUUCGAGCAGACUUAUGAAUGAGUGGGAGGAGUUAAAGGACUUGUGGAAGAAGGAAUAGGAUAUGGUGUAAUGUCGAAUAAUGUGCCUGUUGCUUGUGCUACCGAAUGUCGCCAAGCUCACGUACCCGCGUUUUAUGUACCUUUUCUUGGUGUUUUCGAGUUACUCGCCACCAACAUGCAUAUCGGCUGGAACUUGGACCCAUGCUAAAUUGAAGCAAAGUUAAAGUAAGUCUGACCUAAGUCAGUCCGAGUAAGUCAGUAGCUAAAGUAAUAUAAAGACAGUAUGAUAAACUGGUUAGUAAUGUUAAUUUUUUCAUUUCAGCUAAUAUGCCGUGCGAAAAAGCAAAAUAAACAUUUAAUUUUAAUGUUUAUUAAGCCAAACCGACAUUAUUUUUUUCAUCUAAAACGUUUUUUAUGUGUUUUUUUCUCAUCGCGUUUAGGCGUCGUGUAUCAGAUCGCAACUGCUAAUAAUUUCGUCGUCUGAGGCGGACUGUUAUGGAGGUACCAAAUCUUCAGUGAUGAUGAAUGCGUUCACGAAUCUACGAGCCGGUGAUUGGCGGUAUCCAGAUCAUCGUCGUACUGUUAGCUUACCUAAGCUACCAAAAUUAGUGACAGUGUAAAAUUUGUGCUGUGAAGAUUACAGCUGGCUCUCACAACCGUCCGGAAGUCGCAGUAAUUUCGUAACAUAAAGAUCAUCACCACCGCACGAAGCGCAGCAUAUUGAAGCAAGCCCGAGCGGACAGCAACCACCUGCAGCAAACGUAUGCCGAACGAAUGGACGUGGUAGACGCGUUAUGAUUGCAAGGCGAUAUUUGCGCUCUGAAAAUGCUAGCACAGAUGUUUGAGCCACAGAGGUGACGUUCCGAGAGUGUAAAAACUUGCCGGGCCCACAGUUACAGAUAAGCCGUUCUCAUCAAUGCCAUAUCAUGUACGGUCGGUUAGUUACACUUCAUAACGAAGGACAAUCACAUCUGGUUAACGGAAUGCUGCCGAAACGAUGAAGCUGGCUUAGCCCUCGAUGACGACGCAACUCCUGCACGUUCGUCGUCAUACUAUCAUUUCAACUGGAGGCAUGUUUGUUUUAGGCGGCUACAACAUGUUGCUUGAACAUGUUGAAUAGAACAAACAUGUUGAUAAUGGUGAAUGCUGGAACUCCGUGAUACCCGUUUUCGUGCGCUGAAUAAGGUUUGUAUGAAAAAUAGUGUAUUUUUAGAAUAUUUUAUUUUUCAAUAAAGUAACGGUAAAUUUGAAA